UUGGCUGAAAAGUUCGUUUGGUUUUUUCCACAAGAUGUUAGAGAAAGAACCUGAUUGAACUUUUUGGCCAA
ensembl:miRNA